CAAGGAAUCUUGGGCAAUGGGCGAAAGCCUGACCCAGCGACGCCGCGUGAGGGAUGAAGGCCUUCGGGUCGUAAACCUCUUUUAUCGGGGAAGAAGUUCUGACGGUACCCGAUGAAUAAGCCACGGCUAACUACGUGCCAGCAGCCGCGGUAAUACGUAGGUGGCGAGCGUUGUCCGGAUUUACUGGGCGUAAAGGGCUUGUAGGCGGUCCGUUAAGUCCGAUGUGAAAUCUCCCGGCUCAACUGGGAUAGGUCAUUGGAUACUGGCGGACUAGAGGGGGGUAGAGGAGGGCAGAAUUCCUGGUGUAGCGGUGAAAUGCGUAGAUAUCAGGAGGAAUACCAGUGGCGAAGGCGGCUCUCUGGGCCUACCCUGACGCUGAGGAGCGAAAGCGUGGGGGAGCAAACCGGAUUAGAUACCCGGGUAGUCCACGCCCUAAACGGUCGGAUGCUAGGUGUGGGGGGUGU
rnacentral:rRNA from 1 species